CCUACGGGUGGCUGCAGUGAGGAAUAUUGGUCAAUGGGCGCGAGCCUGAACCAGCCAAGUAGCGUGAAGGAUGACUGCCCUACGGUUUGUAAACUUCUUCUAUAAAGGAAUAAAGUGAGGCACGUGUGCCUUUUUGCAUGUACUUUAUGAAUAAGGAUCGGCUAACUCCGUGCCAGCAGCCGCGGUAAUACGGAGGGUCCGAGCGUUAUCCGGAUUUAUUGGGUUUAAAGUGAGCGUAGAUGGGUUGUUAAGUCAGUUGUGAAGGUUUGCGGCUCAACCGUAAAAUUGCAAUUGAUACUGGCAGUCUUGAGUACAGUAGAGGUAGGCGGAAUUCGUGGUGUAGCGGUGAAAUGCUUAGAUAUCACGAAGAACUCCGAUUGCGAAGGCAGCUUACUAGACUGCCACUGACAUUGAUGCUCGAAAGUGUGGGUAGCAAACAGGAUUAGAUACCCGUGUAGUC
rnacentral:rRNA from 1 species